rnacentral:tRNA from 1 species
AAGGCUAUAGCUCAGUGGUAGAGGAUGUGCUUAGCACGCACGAGGUCCUGGGUUCAUUCCCCAGUAGCUCCA